rnacentral:rRNA from 1 species
GACGAACGCUGGCGGCGUGCCUAAUACAUGCAAGUAGAACGCUGAAGGAGGAGCUUGCUUCUCUGGAUGAGUUGCGAACGGGUGAGUAACGCGUAGGUAACCUGCCUGGUAGCGGGGGAUAACUAUUGGAAACGAUAGCUAAUACCGCAUAAUAGUAGAUGUUGCAUGACAUUUGCUUAAAAGGUGCAAUUGCAUCACUACCAGAUGGACCUGCGUUGUAUUAGCUAGUUGGUGGGGUAACGGCUCACCAAGGCGACGAUACAUAGCCGACCUGAGAGGGUGAUCGGCCACACUGGGACUGAGACACGGCCCAGACUCCUACGGGAGGCAGCAGUAGGGAAUCUUCGGCAAUGGACGGAAGUCUGACCGAGCAACGCCGCGGGAGUGAAGAAGGUUUUCGGAUCGUAAAGCUCGGUUGUAAGAGAAGAACGAGUGUGAGAGUGGAAAGUUCACACUGUGACGGUAUCUUACCAGAAAGGGACGGCUAACUACGUG